AGUGUGCAUAUAUCGAGAAUGAUGUUUUCGCAGCAUCUGGUUCUUAUUUUGUUGUCCAUAUGUUUAAUGCCACAAAUUAACUUUUCAUAUCAGCUACAAGAUACAAUUCACACUUUGAGAGAGGAGAACAUGUACCUACAUCACAGACUGAAAAACCUGACUCAGACACUGCAAGAGCUGAGAAAACUUCUGGAUCACUCACAGGAGUCUGCGUUGAAUCAUGAUAGUGACACGUUGCAUGCCUGGAAUGAGUGGAUUAAGAAUGGAAUCAGCACAGAGACUCGUCUCAUGUUAGAACAAGCUUUCUGCCUGCCAGAUCUUCAUGCCAAUGCGAAUUUAUAUUUCCGAGAACCAAUUCUUCUUGUUGUGUCAUGUCUCCUUUGGACUGGGAUCCUUCUCAUGUAAAUAUGGUCAUUAUAUUCUAAUCUAACCUUCUAACCUUCUACGAUUCUACAUUUUUCUAAUUCAAGUUUGUAAAUAUUGACACUAAAUAUUAACAAUGAGGUUUAUUUUGUUAACAUUAGUUAACCACAUUCCACAGCAUAUAUUAAUCUUAAUUUACAAAUAUAAGUUUUUUUUAAUCAAAAGUAGUAUACUAACAUUAAUUCAUGUAAAGAAUGUAUUGUUUUAUAGUAUUCAUGUUAGUUAAUGCAUUGUAAUGUUUACAUAAGCGACCUUAGUAAAGUGUUACCAAAUAAAUAAAGUCUUUCACAUUUUACAUAUUAAUCUCAAUUAAAUAGUCAUUUUAUUGAUUAGUCAGCUGAUUUAGACAUACCCCCACCACCCUCCCACCACCAUGCAUUAACUUUUUUUGAUUUCAACAUUUUACAUUGGGUUGUCUAUUAAGGUCACAUAACUUUGAGAAACAAUCAAUAGCCUCUAUUAUUCAUAUUCUAAUGAAGCCUGUUAUUAAAUCUUGUAUGACGAGUGCAAAUAAAAGAGGUUCAUUUGUGAGAAAACUUUA